AUAAAAAGAAAAGAAAGAAAGUCUAGGUUUUAUAAUAAUAAUAGCUGCAGAACAGAAAAUAUCUUGGUAUACACAGGCAGCAUUUUUGGUCAAAUUAAAAGCAAUGCAUUUCAAGAGGAUAUUAAGGAAAGAUGGGAAAAUGUAGCAGAAAUUCAGGUCUCUAGAAUCUGGAGAUAUUCCUCUGAGAAGAACUGCACCUCAGAAAUAAUAAGUGAAACCAAAAAUAUAACAGAGCAAAUAGCUCAUGGAACAUUUCAGCUGAAGCAAGAUUUUUAGCUGCUGAUACCUACCCAUUCCAGCACCCUUUAAACCGAUUCCUGUCUUCCUUUAAUGUUCUAUGCAUAAGGAGUCCUGGGCUUCCAUGAAGAGAGUGUAUGCCUCACUUUCAAACUACAUAUGCCAGCUGACCAAGGUAGAAGAGUCACUCUAUGAUUUAGAAAAAUGCUGAAACAUUCAAGAAUUCUGCUUAUGAAGUGUUCCCGCUUACUCUUCCUGGUACAAUAUUUGCAUUGAAGUGCGUUUUUGUAGGACGAUGCCUAUGAUUGUGGGAGGUACCACCGGGUGUACAGUGAUGCCCAAGCAUGAAUCAGUAGACUCUAAACCUUUCUGAGGCCAUUUCCUCAUCUAUAAAAUUGGGUUGAUUAU